UUUCCGUAGGUGAACCUGCGGAAGGAUCAUUAUUGUAUAACCGAGGUGCGAGGGCUGUCGCUGACCCGAAAGGUCGUGCACGCCCUAGUGCCCUCACACACAUCCAUCUUACUCCUAUGUGCACCACCGCGUGGGUCCCCCUUUGGCUUGUUCGGAGGGGGGCUUACGUUUUCACACAAACUUUGUAUGCAGUGUAGAAUGUAUUUUUUGUUUUUGCGAUCACGCAAUCAAUACAACUUUCAACAACGGAUCUCUUGGCUCUC
rnacentral:misc_RNA from 1 species